AUUGAGCGCUGGCGGCAGGCUUAACACAUGCAAGUCGAGCGGGGUGAUGGUGCUUGCACUAUCACUUAGCGGCGGACGGGUGAGUAAUGCUUAGGAAUCUGCCUAUUAGUGGGGGACAACAUCUCGAAAGGGAUGCUAAUACCGCAUACGUCCUACGGGAGAAAGCAGGGGAUCACUUGUGACCUUGCGCUAAUAGAUGAGCCUAAGUCGGAUUAGCUAGUUGGUGGGGUAAAGGCCUACCAAGGGGACGGUCUGUAGCGGGUCUGAGAGGACGAUCCGGCACACGGGGACUGAGACACGGCCCAGACGCCUACGGGAGGCAGCAGUGGGGAAUAUGGGACAAUGGGGGGAACCCUGAGCCAGCCAUGCCGCGUGUGUGAAGAAGGCCUUAUGGUUGUAAAGCACUUUAAGCGAGGAGGAGGCUCUUUUGGUUAAUACCCAAGAUGAGUGGACGUUACUCGCAGAAUAAGCACCGGCUAACUCUGUGCCAGCCGCCGCCGUAA
rnacentral:rRNA from 1 species